rnacentral:rRNA from 1 species
AUUGAACGCUGGCGGCAGGCCUAACACAUGCAAGUCGAACGAGUGGCGGACGGGUGAGUAAUGUCUGGGAAACUGCCUGAUGGAGGGGGAUAACUACUGGAAACGGUAGCUACUACCGCAUACCAUCGGAUGUGCCCAGAUGGGAUUAGCUAGUAGGUGGGGUAAAGGCUCACCUAGGCGCCGAUCCCUAGCUGGUCUGAGAGGCUGACCAGCAACCAGGGGACUGAGACACGGUCAAGAAUCCUACGGUAGGCAGCAGUGGGGAAUAUUGCACAAUGGGCGCAAGCCUGAUUCAGCCAUGCCGCGUGUAUGAAGAAGGUCUUAGGGUUGUAAAGUACUUUCAGCGGGGAGGCGUUACCCGCAGAAGAAGCACCGGCUAACUCCGUGCCAGCAGCCGCGGUAAUUC